GUCGCUUCUCGGCCUUUGGGCUAAGAGCAAGGGUAAUAUCUGUUCUUAUCAGUAUAAUAUGCAUACACACACCCACAGGUGCAUAUAUACACACGUGUAUACACAUAUGCAUAUAUAUACCACAUGUUAAGUUUAUUGAGAUAUGAUUUACAUACAGCAAAAUGCACAGAUCUUAAUUGUAUAGUUCAG